GACGCAGAAGGUUUCAGAGGACCCUUGUCACUGAAAUUCCCUUUCCUUCUGGAAAAGCAAACUGCUAGUUUGUUGACCAUCAGCUGUGAAGCUUUUCUGGAUAAGGGUCAAGGAUAUCCUCAUGACUAAAUGCUACAAUAGAAUAUGUACUUGGACUCAGGCUCAGAAAUUACCAAACUGUCAUAACUGACCCAAAGAUGCUUCCUAGAGACGGGUUUCGCUGUGUUCACCAGGAUGGUCUCAAUUUCCUGACCUCGUGAUCUGCCUGCCUCGACCUCCCAAAAUGGAAAGCACGUCCUUCACCAUAAGUUGCUUUUGUCUGUUUUUCAACAUUAGCAACAUGUAUGCAGCUAGAGGCCAUUAUCCUGAGUGAAUUAACACAGGAACAGAAAACUCCAGCCUGUGAGAUCACCCUCGGGGACUCUAUGAAGCUGCAGGGGUGGAGCUACCCAAAGCCUUGGGAGCCUACUCUUUGCAGCAGUGUAUCUUGGAUGUGGAACAUGGAGUCAAAGGAGGUUAUUUUGGAGCUUUAUGAUUUAAU